rnacentral:rRNA from 1 species
GACCACGCUGGCGGCGUGCUUAACACAUGCAAGUCGCACGGAAAGGCCCUGCUUUUGUGGGGUGCUCGAGUGGCGAACGGGUGAGUAACACGUGAGUAACCUGCCCUUGACUUUGGGAUAACUUCAGGAAACUGGGGCUAAUACCGGAUAGGAGCUCCUGCUGCAUGGUGGGGGUUGGAAAGUUUCGGCGGUUGGGGAUGGACUCGCGGCUUAUCAGCUUGUUGGUGGGGUAGUGGCUUACCAAGGCUUUGACGGGCAGCCGGCCUGAGAGGGUGACCGGCCACAUUGGGACUGAGAUACGGCCCAGACUCCUACGGGAGGCAGCAGUGGGGAAUAUUGCACAAUGGGCGGAAGCCUGAUGCAGCAACGCCGCGUGCGGGAUGACGGCCUUCGGGUUGUAAACCGCUUUCGCCUGUGACGAAGCGUGAGUGACGGUAAUGGGUAAAGAAGCACCGGCUAACUACGUG